CCUACGGGAGGCAGCAGUGAGGAAUAUUGGUCAAUGGGCGCGAGCCUGAACCAGCCAAGUCGCGUGAGGGAAGACGGUCCUAUGGAUUGUAAACCUCUUUUGUCGGGGAGCAAAAGACGCCACGCGUGGCGUUCCGAGAGUACCCGAAGAAAAAGCAUCGGCUAACUCCGUGCCAGCAGCCGCGGUAAUCCGGAGGAUGCGAGCGUUAUCCGGAUGUAUUGGGUUUAAGGGGUGCGCAGGCGGAAGAUCAAGUCACAGGUAAAAUUGAGAGGCUCAACCUCUUUGAGCCGUUGAAACUGGUUUUCUUGAGUGAGCGAGAAGUAUGCGGAAUGCGUGGUGUAGCGGUGAAAUGCAUAGAUAUCACGCAGAACUCCGAUUGCGAAGGCAGCAUACCGGCGCUCAACUGACGCUCAUGCACGAAAGUGUGGGUAUCGAACAGGAUUAGAUACCCGUGUAGUC
rnacentral:rRNA from 1 species